UUGUCUGGCUGAAAUCCUAAACAUUAGUUCCUGUUAUGGAUAUCAGGAGGAAUUAAAAUGCCCUCUGGUAUAGUACAAGUUUUCUUUUCAGAAUGUGGGGUACGGUAAUUAAUUAUUUCAGAUUUUUUUUUCUCCUGAAAAAGCUGGGAUUUGGUGCUUUUGCUGCUGGGAAAAAAGCCAUUCCUGCAGAUUUCAGCCCUUUUCCAGCAGCAUUUUUUUGCCUUCCCUCUCCAGCUCAUGUUCCUGCAGCCCUGUAGCGUGGCAGGUCAGGGACCUGACCCUGUUGAAAGUUUUUGCAGCCUCUGGGUUACUUCCAGCUUGCAGUCCGCUUGCUGUAGGGCCGUGUGGUUUGGUGCAGAUCCUAGCAUGGCUAGGGCUGGGUGGGAUGUCACAGCAGUGCCACCUGUGCCAUCACGCUGCCACCGAAGCCUCAGGCCAAGAGAAAAGCAAAAGGCCACUGCUUGCCUGGCUUUGUUUCCUUGCCUUCAAAGGGCCACGGCUGCUGUGGCUCUUUGGAGGCAAGGAAACAAAGCCAGCCAGUGGCAUCGACGGGGCUGAUUGCAGCCUUAUCUUUAUGAGCUACUCCUCGCCAUGAGAAGGAAUUAAAGGGAAGUCAUUUGGCCCAGCUGAGCCGAGUGUGAGAAUAAUAUAAAAGAACCAUUUCUUACCCUUCGUGGGCCAUUUAAUGGGGCUGAAUGUCAUGCGUUGUAUGACUCAACCCCAAUAUUUUCUGUUUUAACACAGGAAAUGCUUUCCAGGUGAGUUCGCGCAGUGUCAUUCCUCACCUAAUAAAAAAAAUUAUUCAAAGCUGUUAUGUGAAAAUGAAAUUUUUGAGUAAAAUCCUCUAUGACUUAAUUCUCUUGUCAUAGAAGAGCUACGUUAAUAAUUAAACAAGAUAAUUGUAAACCGGGACUAUCACCCGAUGCCUCGCUGAGUUCCAAACAGUUUCAUGACCGAAGACCCUCCGAUAACCAAACUCAACUGGUCUGCUGGGAAUACCAACCUUGUACCUAGAGACGGAGCUUCUAAGGAUUCAAAUGUCAACGCAGGGUUACAGAGGGUCACACACGCCCUUCCCAAGGUUUAUUUUGUGUUACGCCAGCUCGCCUCAGCUCAGGGCUUGAUGUGCUGUGCUGCAUGUAGCUGCCUGAUUGCCAAGAGGUCUUCACAUUUACACACGUUGGUCUUCAUAUUUACACGUAACUUCCACUGAAUGAGCCUCCAGCUAGCACGUGUGCCUCAAACCACUUUCAAAGUUCAGAAAUCAACACAAUAUAACCCUACAGAAUGGAUAGAGACAUAACACAAGGAAGUAUCCUCGUGGCCACAGCUGUCUGUCCCCCCGGGGCAGCAAGAAGAGCACAGGCACAUACAGGAUGACACAACCUUGUUACUGUCCCGCUGUUAUCGGAGCACAGCCCUAUCGAUGAUUUGUUCGUGCUGUGGCCUUAUCAGAGCACAGGCUUCACGCUGUAAACACCUCCCCUAUCAAGGUUUCACCUUGUUUCGGUUAUGUUCUUGGCUGUUCUUCUAGCCCUUGCUCCAUUAAUGGUUUCUGCUGGUAUUCCUCUGCAUAACACCUCCAGCGUUUUUUGCUCCGCAUUGCUAUCUGAGCACCAGCCUUCCUGGGACAGGCAGAUGGAUGAGGUGUGUCCUGAUCCAUGGCUUUUUGUAGGCGUGAGGGGGCUCAGGGCCUCUGUGGGAGGAAGCAGCCCCUUCACAGGCUGUUCCACAAACCUUGUUGACACGUUGGUAUCAGUGACAAAGCUGAGAGUCUGCAGAUUAAUACAAAAGCAAGCCGGGAUGAGCAGCCUCAACUUCAUUAGAUCUCUCAUGGCAAAAGACAAAUAACACUAGAAGCUGAUGCAGGGCUCUUCCUCAACCUCUACAAAACACUUCUAAGAGGUUAGGGGCAGCAUAAUGUGUGAGUCGAAGAAAGGAAUGAGGCCUGGCAACUCUGAUGAGCUAACUGAAUCAUCUGACUAAUUUCUCUUGCAUGUUAUGCUGAAAGCACUGUGGAAAAAAAACCACUAAGCUGCUGAAGGAGACCCCCCUUCUCCUUGACUGCUAGCAGUGCGUUGCCACUCAUCACUAUUUCUGGCAUCAUUUGAACUUUGUGUCAAGAAUGAUUAAUUUUUUCACAGAAAACAUCAUCAGCAGGUAGGAUGUUUACCAAGAACAUAGCACGGCUUUUCUUUGAGAACCUCCGUGGAAAGGUGCCUGCAAGGACAGGAACUGUCUUUGGCAAAUGUUACCAUGAUAGAUGUCUGCUGGAGAAGCUGCGGGUGAAAUUGCUUUCCAUUUUUACUUUAAUUUGCUUAAGCUGUGAACCAGGCUAUUUCUAGUGCUCAUGACAAGGGAAUUUAGUGUAGGUAGUUAUAUGGCUCUGGCGAGUCCUGACACUGAUAACUGUCCUGGCACAGGACACUGGUAAUUAGAAGUCAGGGAUACUGGAGAAGCAAAAUAGGUGAAACUUUAACUUUUCCCUGGGUGAAAUAGGCUGUAAAAGACGAGUCAAUACUUAACAAUGUGAAGAUAGUUUAAUCAGUGGGGAAUUUUCCUAUUAUUGAAACUGUGGUACCAUAAAUGUUCUCUCCAGAUGGUCACUAUAAUUAAAACGCAGUCUUCUGGCCAGAGAGCUCUGUGUCAGGGUAAGCGUCUGUUUGGUAAAGCAGGUGUAAGCUGCUUCCUGGAAUCAGAUUCUGAGAUUUUGUGGGAAGGGGAGAGAUCCUCCAGAAAGAUGGAAGAAUUGGGAAAACUGGGAAUGCCAGUCUGAACACGAGGAGAAUCUUCUAAACACCUCCUGCCUCUCUAUCCAUUCCUCGCCAUAUACACAUUCAAAUCUGUCACCUCUUUUUUGUUACUUCCCAGUUUUCCUCAUGUGUGCCACGUGAUGUAUAAAGGGAUGCUGAGAUGGAGCUGAACAUUGACCCAGAAGCCACUGGUAAUUCGGUACGACCCACGAUAUCUGAGAGAACCCCCGUGGUCAGCUUUCCUCUGGAUAAAAAUGAGUGACUGCAUGUGUGAAUAAUUAAAAAAAUAUAUAAUUUACUGUCUGAGUAGUUACCUAUUAUUAAUUUAUUACAGCAGCUUAAUAAAAGGUAUGCUAACAGAUAUUGAUCGAUCUGCUUCUCCAUAGGCUUGAUUGUAAAUUGCCUUUUCCCUGAUACACAGCACUUAAACUCUAAGAGGGAAGGCUUCUGAAGAUGCCUGCCUUUGCCAUUGCCCAUCACUCUGUGUAAUUGCUCAGGGAAGUCUUUUGCAGCCUCACUGCUCGUGUUCUUUGCUGCUGCCUGCCUCUGUUCUGGUACGUAAUGUUCUAGGAGAAUUUCAUGGUCCUCUGCUGCUUCAGGAAAACUUCUCACCCCGAUUCCCUUGAGGUAGCACACGGCGAUUAUAAAUGAGUUACCCUUUGCUGUGCCUUUGGUGAGGUCAGGUGUGCUAAAGCAAGGUAGGAAUGAACAGACUCGUUAAUGGGACAGAAGGUCCCCAGAAUGUCAGACAGCGUGAUCAGGAUAA